UACGCAGGCGGCUUGGUAAGACAGAUGUGAAAUCCCCGGGCCUAACCUGGGAACUGCAUUUGUGGCUGCCAGGCUCGAGUCUGUCAGAGGGGGGUGGAAUUCCACGUGUAGCAGUGAAAUGCGUAGAGAUGUGGAGGAACACCGAUGGCGAAGGCAGCCCCCUGGGAUGAGACUGACGCUCAUGUACGAAAGCGUGGGGAGCAAACAGGAUUAGAUACCCUGGUAGUCCACGCCCUAAACGAUGUCGACUAGUUGUCCGGGGAUUCAUUUUCUCGGUAACGCAGCUAACGCGUGAAGUCGACCGCCUGGGGAGUACGGUCGCAAGAUUAAA
rnacentral:rRNA from 1 species